UACGUAGGGCGCAAGCGUUGUCCGGAAUUAUUGGGCGUAAAGAGCUCGUAGGCGGUUUGUCGCGUCUGCUGUGAAAACCUAAGGCUCAACCUUGGGCUUGCAGUGGGUACGGGCAGACUAGAGUGCGGUAGGGGAGAUUGGAAUUCCUGGUGUAGCGGUGGAAUGCGCAGAUAUCAGGAGGAACACCGAUGGCGAAGGCAGGUCGUCUGGGCAUUAACUGACGCUGAGGAGCGAAAGCAUGGGGAGCGAACAGG
rnacentral:rRNA from 1 species